UGUAAGCGUAUACCAAAGUUGUCGCAGUUAAAACGCUCGUAGUCGGAAUUUGGCAGUUCCGGAUGUGUGCACGUCGUGUGCGCACUUCGCGGGGAUUGCUUUUGUGGUCUUGCGUAGGAUGAGGCACUUUUAUUAGUGAACGUCCUCACGCAACCACUUUUUACUGUGAGAAAAUCAGAGUGCUCAAAGCAGGCAUUUGCCGUGAAUGUAUUAGCAUGGAAUAAUAGAAUAGGACUUGGUUCUAUUGUGUUGGUUUGUUGGAACUGAGUAAUGAUUAAGAGGGACAGUUGGGGGCAUUUGUAUUUCGGUGCUAGAGGUGAAAUUCUUAGAUUACCGAAAGACAAACUGCUGCGAAAGCGUCUGCCAAGGAUGUUUUCAUUGA
rnacentral:rRNA from 1 species